AUUAGGUGAUGUUUUAAAUAUGAAUGAUUUUGAUGCAGAUCAUGCAGAUGAAAAUGCAUCACAGUAUCUAUCAGAAAGAAAUAUGAACGUUGAGAACGUAGAAAAUGAAUUUAGUGACAAUACGCAAGAUAAUUAACCCAAUGUAAAUUUACAUAGCGAAGAUAUACCACAUUUCUACAAAAAUCCUUUAAAGGAAGCAAACGAUAAAAUUUACAUGCUAAGAAAGAGAAAAACUGGUAAUUCUAAUAAAAACACAGAGCCUCAAAGAAUAAAAAGUAUUGUCAGUUAUUUCGACUGCAAUGUCCAAUCGACAGUCCAAUUACCCGAACAUGUGAUGAAAAAUACCGAAAAAUCUCUACGGGAAAUUUUGGAUAAUGGUGAUUCCACGUAUAAAAAUUCGGAAAAAAGGCCGAUUGAGAAAAUCAAAAUACAAAAACAGACAAUGUCAACACCAAUUGAAGCACCCAUAUCAGCCAUCGCUCAAAUUUAUUUCGAACUGUGUUCGUACCAAAUAAUAAUACUGCAACUUUGAAGGCCAAGGACUUUACUUGUCGAAAAGUGUCUUCCACUUUAAAACAAGAAUCCGGCGAGUCACUGUGGCCUUUUUAUAUCCGUGAUAUUACAAUUAUUAACAAUUAUUUCGAACUGUGUUCGUACCAAAUAAUAAUACUGCAACUUUACAAAACAAA